UGGAUUCUUGAUUAGCGACUUAAGAGAGCACAGUGGACGACAUCUUUCAAUCAUAACUACCGCUGGAAACACUAUAGGAAUCAAACGAGGAAAGCGAGGAGACGUUCAUAGAAGAUACACGAUUGAAAACGAUGGCUUCCAACUCGCUGUCACUAGAACGUAUUUGCCGAAUUCCUUGGGACUCAAGAUAUGUCAAAAACUUUUAGCACUUUGUGAAGUCUCUCCAACAGAACCAACAGAACAGCUAUGAACGGUCAACAAAGUUUCGGUUUUUAUGUAGGGACGUAAAAGUUAGGAUCACUUUGUACAGCAAACUACUGCUGCUCAGAAGCUUUCAUUUGAAUGUUCACACUCCAAAGUUUCAUUGACAAGCUCUUAAUUAGAGCCACCUUGUGCAGCAUAAGAGAAAGUACUACAUGAGAGUAUUGAUCAGUAGUUUUCAUUUGAAUAGUCACACAACAGGAUUUUAUCUUCAGAACUCAAAGGUAUAACCACUUUGAAAAAUAAGAUGAAGAGGAAACCACAUGAAAGUAUUUCUCUGUAGCUCUCAUUUUGGCUGACACUUACUAGAGUUUUUGAUUGUCACUUGCUAGAGUUUUGUCCCCAGGCUAAAAAAGAUCUUGCCUUGCAGAUCAUGAUUAGCAGUACCAUAAGAAAGUUUUACUCCGUCUUUUGACACAAGCUCCCAAAGGCAGAGAGGAAAUAAUUUGUUAACCCUCUUUAAAAAGACUUGAAGUACAGGAUGAGGUUUAAAAUAAAAUUGGAAAGAGACCGAUGCACAUCACACAGAAACGAAAUUAGGGAAAAACCCAGAAACCACAUUAACAAUGAUAGCAUUAUAGUUGUACCUCGAGAUGACAAUGGAAUCUAUUGGGAUUCUCCCAUUGUAAAGGGUUUUUCUUUUGAUUGGCAAGGGAAGGAAAAAUAGCAUCUAGCUCAUGCAAAAAUACCCCAACGCUUGCAGCUUUGCAGAUUUCGAACUCACAACCUUAAUAAAUAGUAACAGAGAAAUCGCCAAGCAGUCAAACACACUCCCAGGGAUACACAGACAAUUUCGGCGGUGGAGUUACACCAGGCGAAAACAUCAUGGAAAAUGCAUCGAAUGAAAAACCAGCACAGAUUCCAGGAGCCAGCGAAGGUCGGAAAUCAACGCCUUAUCAGCGGAUAGUGAUAGCCUGCCCUGAAAAUCACAUUAUCGUAGUGAAGAGAUUUUCGAACGGAGAAGUUAAAGUCGAAGGAGGACGACUGGUCGCUGUUGAAGACAAGAAAGGCCGCUAGAUGAGAGGUUAG